rnacentral:rRNA from 1 species
UACGUAGGGGGCAAGCGUUGUCCGGAUUUAUUGGGCGUAAAGAGCGUGUAGGCGGCUAGGUAGGUCCGUUGUGAAAACUCGAGGCUCAACCUCGAGACGUCGAUGGAAACCAUCUAGCUAGAGUCCGGAAGAGGAGAGUGGAAUUCCUGGUGUAGCGGUGAAAGGCGCAGAUAUCAGGAAGAACACCCGUGGCGAAGGCGGCUCUCUGGUACGUGACUGACGCUGAGACGCGAAAGCGUGGGGAGCGAACAGG